AAGCGCCAUGUACCGAACGGUAUGCACGGUGCUGUGAGAUGACGGGAGUUAGUCACUCCCUGCUACUCGAU
rnacentral:misc_RNA from 1 species